rnacentral:rRNA from 1 species
UACGAAGGGUGCAAGCGUUACUCGGAAUUACUGGGCGUAAAGGGUGCGUAGGUGGUCGUUUUAAGUCCGUUGUGAAAUCCCUGGGCUCAACCUGGGAAUGGCAGUGGAUACUGGACGGCUAGAAUGCGGUAGAGGGUAGUGGAAUUCCCGGUGUAGCAGUGAAAUGCGUAGAGAUCGGGAGGAACACCAGUGGCGAAGGCGGCUACCUGGACCAGCAUUGACACUCAAGCACGAAAAGCGUGGGGGAGCAAACAGG